CAAUUACCAAGACUCAUCAUUUGCCAUCUGUGCUGGCUGCCAGUAGGGCAGUGGAUCAUCAUUUUCUUAGAAUAACCAUAGCCAUUUAUGUCUGAGGCCCUUAGAGAAUUGAUUUUCCCACAGGGCCCUUCUAAGGAAGAAGCAGCAUCUGGCUCUGGUCUUUUGCUUGCUACUUGAAUGCAGACGAGAAGCAGGAUUCUCUCUCAGUGAGAACUCUCUCUACGAGAGUCGUGUUCGGGCUCUCUGGCAGACCUGAGGCUGGCUCUAGGAACAGACUGCAGUUUUCAUCUCAUGGAUGUGUAGUCAGUCAUUUUCUCACAGUCUCUAAGGGGCCGUGCCCUUUGAGACUGCUUUGAGACCUUGCUCUCAACAAAGAGUAAAGUAUUUAGAGCUUCUAAUUCCACUUUUCCUUAAGGGAGGAUGAACUCUGUAGCAAUUACCUUAUGACUUCUGAGGAUCACCUUUGGAAGGCUUGGUGUUACGAACAUUGGGAUAAGAAUUUUACAAAACAUCAAAAAGAUUAUAAUAUUAAGAGCAGAAGCCUUGAUUUAUUUAUCAAAGAAACCCCAGUAAUUAACACAGUCUGACUUUAAAGGACCUCUUUCAAAUCAUCAGCACCUUCAGAAUUUUUCUUCUGAGCCAUAGAGAACAAAAAUUGUGAGUUAGCACUUUCUCUAACCUUGUUAAAGAAGAGCACAGACAGCAGUGAUCCAUACACUCAGGUAAGAUUCCAAUCUCAGUGUGUAGGGAACACACUAAACACCAGUUGGUUUCCUGGACUGGCUAAUGUUCUCCACUUUCUCUUCUGUCCUGGUUUUCCCGG
rnacentral:lncRNA from 1 species